rnacentral:rRNA from 1 species
UACAGAGGUCUCAAGCGUUUGUUCGGAUUCAUUGGGCGUAAAGGGUGCGUAGGUGGCGGGGUAAGUCAGGUGUGAAAUCUCGGGGCUCAACCCCGAAACUGCAUUUGAUACUGCCUUGCUCGAGUACUGGAGAGGAGAUUGGAAUUUACGGUGUAGCAGUGAAAUGCGCAGAUAUCGGGAAGAACACCCGUGGCGAAGGCGGCUCUCUGGGACGGUACUGACGCUGAGACGCGAAAGCGUGGGGGAG